rnacentral:tRNA from 1 species
GAGGGAAUAGCUCAGUGGUACAGCACAUGCUUAGCACGCACAAGGUCCUGGGUUCAAUCCCCAGUACCUCCA